CCAUCCAGCAGCAUUGUGGAGCAGCAGCCUGGGAAGGCAUUGACAUUUUUGCACGUGGUGUUGAUGGUGGAGGUGGGGAGAGGUGUCCUGUGAAGCCAACUUGCACAAAGCUGAUCAUUCAGUGGAGUCCAUUCUCACCAUGAGAAGAACAUUCUACUGUCAGCAGGCAGAGUGAGGAUGGAGACAUCACUGAUUCACUUGGCUAGUUCCAUGUGGGCAUUCCAUGUCCAUGGAUGAAUGGAUAAGUAACUGAUCCACAAGAGGAGGGCUCACGGGCAGAAGAGAUUUGCCUUGCCUCAGAUGACACUUUGGACUGUGGACUUUUGAGUUAAUGCUGAUAUGAGUUAAGACUUUGGGGGACUUAGGAAG
rnacentral:lncRNA from 1 species